rnacentral:rRNA from 1 species
AUUGAACGCUGGCGGCAUGCCUUACACAUGCAAGUCGAACGGCAGCAUGAUCUAGCUUGCUAGAUUGAUGGCGAGUGGCGAACGGGUGAGUAAUACAUCGGAACGUGCCCUGUAGUGGGGGAUAACUAGUCGAAAGAUUAGCUAAUACCGCAUACGACCUGAGGGUGAAAGUGGGGGGCCGCAAGGCCUCAUGCUAUAGGAGCGGCCGAUGUCUGAUUAGCUAGUUGGUGAGGUAAAGGCUCACCAAGGCGACGAUCAGUAGCUGGUCUGAGAGGACGAUCAGCCACACUGGGACUGGGACACGGCCCAGACUCCUACGGGAGGCAGCAGUGGGGAAUUUUGGACAAUGGGCGAAAGCCUGAUCCAGCAAUGCCGCGUGUGUGAAGAAGGCCUUCGGGUUGUAAAGCACUUUUGUCCGGAAAGAAAUGGCUCUGGUUAAUACCUGGGGUCGAUGACGGUACCGGAAGAAUAAGGACCGGCUAACUACGUG